rnacentral:tRNA from 1 species
GCUGUGGUGGUUCAGUGGUAGGAUUCUCACCUUCCAUGUGGGAGACCUGAGUUCAAUUCCUGGCCAAUAUA